ACGGAGGAUCCGAGCGUUAUCCGGAUUUAUUGGGUUUAAAGGGUGCGCAGGCGGGUAUAUAAGUCAGAGGUGAAAUUCCAGGGCUCAACCCUGGGACUGCCUUUGAUACUGUAUGUCUAGAGUAUAUUUGGAGUGGGCGGAAUGUAGCAUGUAGCGGUGAAAUGCUUAGAUAUGCUACAGAACACCGAUCGUGAAGACAGCUCACUAAACUAUAACUGACGCUCAGGCACGAAAGCGUGGGGAGCAAACAGG
rnacentral:rRNA from 1 species